rfam:Schistosoma haematobium scaffold2859_2, whole genome shotgun sequence.
AUCCAGCUGACGAGUCCCAAAUAGGACGAAACGCGCCACCUGGAU